ACUGGAACAUGCUUGUCCGUUGUAUAGUAUUCAGUUACAGUUUGUACAGCUAAAUAGCUGAAGACGGUGUCCUUGUCUUUUUAUUUGAACGGGUUUCAAUGAGAUCAAAUUAUGUCAAAAAGUGAUAAUUUUUUGUUUGCAGAUUUUUUUUCUAUGCGGCUUUGAACACUUUUUCUCAUACUCACCACCAGAGGUCUAAGUUUUAACCAAAUAAGCCUAUGAACUAAUGUACGAUGACUUCACGCUGCAACUUCCAGCGAGAGGAAAACCUUUACUGCAUACAGAAAAAAUGUAUAAAAAUGUGUGUAUACAGAAAAAUAAACGAUUUCGUUGCACAUCAAUCUACGCAUUUUCAUCCGGUAAACAUUCGUGUUGAGUACACCCUAAUGUACAUGCGCGCCUCUCUAUCCAAUCCGGUAUCUUUAGGUCGUACAUACACCAUUGUACGCUGGUAGCGUAUGAUACCUUCUUCCAUGAAGGCGUUUAUAGAAGGUGACGAAUGGACAGUAUUGUGCAAUAGAAAGUGUUGAAAUCACGUGCUGAAUUACAAUUCCUAAUUUACUACUCUAUUUGCAAGUAUUUAAACCUAAACUACUAUGAAAUUUUGCUACUUAUCUAAAUUCGCUUAAGUGUCGCCUUAAACCUACAUAGUGCAUUACCAUAACCCUACAUCUAUUCGGAUUAAAAGCCUACAUGCAAAGGUAAAUGUUACUACUUAAAAUGCUAUUGAAACACUUAAAACUAGGUUGUUUAGUACGGCUGUGAGAAUUCAAUACGAAUAAUCUUUGAUUGAUAGGCUGAUCGAAAAUUAAGAACUCGCAUAAUCAGGAACAUUGAUCGCCGGCAGGUAUCGCACAACGGGACUAAACGUAAGUCAAAACGGACAAACAUAUAUUUCUCAAAGCACUAAAUGAACAUUAAAUAAUUAGAAUUGCAACAU